rnacentral:rRNA from 1 species
GGCUCAGGACGAACGCGGGCGGCGUGCCUAACACAUGCAAGUCGAACGGGACCGGGGGCAACUCCGGUUCAGUGGCGAACGGGUGCGUAACACGUGAGGAACCUGACCAUCGGCGGGGGAUAGCCGGCCCAACGGCCGGGUAAUACCGCGUACGACCUUCGGGGGGCAUCCCCUGAAGGUGAAAGCAGCAAUGCACCGAUGGAGGGCCUCACGGCCUAUCAGCUAGUUGGUGAGGUCACGGCUCACCAAGGCGACGACGGGUAGCUGGUCUGAGAGGAUGGCCAGCCACAUUGGGACUGAGACACGGCCCAGACUCCUACGGGAGGCAGCAGUGGGGAAUCUUGCGCAAUGGGCGAAAGCCUGACGCAGCGACGCCGCGUGUGGGAUGACGGCCUUCGGGUUGUAAACCACUGUCGGGAGGGACGAGGCUCUGACGGUACCUCCAAAGGAAGCACCGGCUAACUCUGUGCCAGCAGCCGCGGUAAUACAGAGGGUGCGAGCGUUGUCCGGAAUCACUGGGCGUAAAGGGCGCGUAGGCGGCCUGAUAAGUAGGGGGUGAAAUCCUGCGGCUUAACUGCAGGGCUGCCUCCUAGACUGUCGGGCUCGAGCACGGUAGAGGCAGAUGGAAUUCCCGGUGUAGCGGUGGAAUGCGUAGAGAUCGGGAAGAACAUCGGUGGCGAAGGCGGUCUGCUGGGCCGUUGCUGACGCUGAGGCGCGACAGCGUGGGGAGCAAACAGGAUUAGAUACCCUGGUAGUCCACGCCGUAAACGAUGGACACUAGGCGUCGGGGGGAGCGACCCUCCCGGUGCCGUCGCUAACGCAGUAAGUGUCCCGCCUGGGGAGUACGGCCGCAAGGCUGAAACUCAAAG